AUGAACGCUGGCGGCGUGCCUAAUACAUGCAAGUCGAGCGAACAGACGAGGAGCUUGCUCCUCUGACGUUAGCGGCGGACGGGUGAGUAACACGUGGAUAACCUACCUAUAAGACUGGGAUAACUUCGGGAAACCGGAGCUAAUACCGGAUAAUAUAUUGAACCGCAUGGUUCAAUAGUGAAAGACGGUUUUGCUGUCACUUAUAGAUGGAUCCGCGCCGCAUUAGCUAGUUGGUAAGGUAACGGCUUACCAAGGCAACGAUGCGUAGCCGACCUGAGAGGGUGAUCGGCCACACUGGAACUGAGACACGGUCCAGACUCCUACGGGAGGCAGCAGUAGGGAAUCUUCCGCAAUGGGCGAAAGCCUGACGGAGCAACGCCGCGUGAGUGAUGAAGGUCUUCGGAUCGUAAAACUCUGUUAUUAGGGAAGAACAAAUGUGUAAGUAACUAUGCACCUCUUGACGGUACCUAAUCAGAAAGCCACGGCUAACUACGUG
rnacentral:rRNA from 1 species